UACGUAGGGACCAAGCGUUGUUCGGAUUUACUGGGCGUAAAGGGCGCGUAGGCGGCGUGGUAAGUCACUUGUGAAAUCUCCGAGCUUAACUCGGAACGGUCAAGUGAUACUGCUGUGCUAGAGUGCAGAAGGGGCAAUCGGAAUUCUUGGUGUAGCGGUGAAAUGCGUAGAUAUCGGAAGGAACACCAGUGGCGAAAGCGGCUUCCUGGUCCAGCACCGGACGUCAGGCACGAAAGCGUGGGGAGCAAACAGG
rnacentral:rRNA from 1 species